rnacentral:rRNA from 1 species
AGUGAACGCUGGCGGUAGGCCUAACACAUGCAAGUCGAACGGCAGCACAGUAAGAGCUUGCUCUUACGGGUGGCGAGUGGCGGACGGGUGAGGAAUACAUCGGAAUCUACUUUUUCGUGGGGGAUAACGUAGGGAAACUUACGCUAAUACCGCAUACGACCUACGGGUGAAAGCAGGGGAUCUUCGGACCUUGCGCGAUUGAAUGAGCCGAUGUCGGAUUAGCUAGUUGGCGGGGUAAAGGCCCACCAAGGCGACGAUCCGUAGCUGGUCUGAGAGGAUGAUCAGCCACACUGGAACUGAGACACGGUCCAGACUCCUACGGGAGGCAGCAGUGGGGAAUAUUGGACAAUGGGGGCAAGCCUGAUCCAGCCAUACCGCGUGGGUGAAGAAGGCCUUCGGGUUGUAAAGCCCUUUUGUUGGGAAAGAAAAGCAGCAGGUUAAUACCCCGCUGUUCUGGCGGUACCCAAAGAAUAAGCACCGGCUAACUUCGUG